rnacentral:tRNA from 1 species
AUUGAUAUGCCUGAUUAAAGGAUUAUUUUGAUAGAAUAAAUUAUAUAAUUUUUUUUAUUGUCAAUA